UACAGAGGUCUCAAGCGUUGUUCGGAUUCAUUGGGCGUAAAGGGUGCGUAGGCGGCGCGGUAAGUCGGGUGUGAAAUCUCGAAGCUUAACUCCGAAACUGCAUUCGAUACUGCCGUGCUUGAGGACUGGAGAGGAGACUGGAAUUUACGGUGUAGCGGUGAAAUGCGUAGAUAUCGUAAGGAAGACCAGUGGCGAAGGCGGGUCUCUGGACAGUUCCUGACGCUGAGGCACGAAGGUCAGGGGAGCAAACGGG
rnacentral:rRNA from 1 species